GAUGAACGCUGGCGGCGUGCUUAACACAUGCAAGUCGAACGGGAAACCUUUUAUUGAAGCUUCGGCAGAUUUAGCUGGUUUCUAGUGGCGGACGGGUGAGUAACGCGUGGGUAACCUGCCUUAUACAGGGGGAUAACAGUCAGAAAUGGCUGCUAAUACCGCAUAAGCGCACAGAGCUGCAUGGCUCAGUGUGAAAAACUCCGGUGGUAUAAGAUGGACCCGCGUUGGAUUAGCUGGUUGGUGGGGUAACGGCCCACCAAGGCGACGAUCCAUAGCCGGCCAGAGAGGGUGAGCGCCCACUUUGGCACUGAGACACGGCCCAGACUCCUACGGGAGGCAGCAGUGGGGAAUAUUGCACAAUGGGGGAAACCCUGAUGCAGCGACGCCGCGUGAAGGAAGAAGUAUCUCGGUAUGUAAACUUCUAUCAGCAGGGAAGAUAAUGACGGUACCUGACUAAGAAGCCCCGGCUAACUACGUG
rnacentral:rRNA from 1 species